GUAGGGUGCAAGCGUUGUUCGGAAUGACUGGGCGUAAAGGGUGUGUAGGUGGUUUGAUAAGUUAGAUGUGUAAUACCCAGGGCUUAACUCGGGUGCUGCAUCUAAAACUGUUAGACUUGAGUACUGGAGAGGAUAGUGGAAUUCCUAGUGUAGCGGUGGAAUGCGUAGAUAUUAGGAGGAACAUCAGUGGCGAAGGCGACUAUCUGGACAGCAACUGACACUGAGGCACGAAAGCGUGGGGAGCAAA
rnacentral:rRNA from 1 species